GGAUGAGAGGGCGAUCUGGCUGCGACAUCUGUCACCCCACUGAUCGCCAGGGUGGAUUCAGCUGAUCUGGCCAGGCAGGUGUCCCCUUCCUCCCUCAAUGCUCCAUGCGCGUCCCUCCCGAAGCUGCACAUCAGAGGACAACCACCCCCAAUGGAUCUCCUUAUAUUAUCUCAAAUACUUCUGAUAUACUCAUUUUCAUUAUAUGAGGCAAUAAUUGUU
rnacentral:snRNA from 1 species